UUAAUUUAUAUUCUUCAAAUUAACUAUUGUUUUUAUUUAAGGAAUUAAUAAUCUCUCGGUUAUUUGUCUGUUAUGUGGAUCCUAUCCAUUAUCCAGAAUUGAUCCAGGAAGUUUAUUAUAAAUUAAUAAAGCUAUAUCUACAUACAUAUAUGUUAACUUCAAGUCUUAUAAUUUGUAAUGGAUUUAAUUUUGAAAUGGAGCAUCAAGUGCAAACAAUUUUGUGUUACUAAUGAUUUUAUAUACAUUGACGGCUACUAUAUAUAUUGAUAGUCCUUAUGGUUUCAUUGUAGUUUUAUGUCCACUCAAUCACUGGUCUACGAUUGCUGUCAAAGCAAGAUGUACUACUCUAUAUCAAUGAGGCAAAGGUCUCUGGGUGCGACACCAAUGGACAAUGUGACACAACUUCUGAAGAUAACAUACUUUCAAAAGUGGACUUUCGGCCAAGUGGAUUGCCUGAAGGUUGGGUGAAAGAACUAGUGUACAGAAAAACCAUGGAAGGGUUGAUCAAGAGAGAUCCGUACUACACGGAUCCUGCUAGUUCCUACACAUUCCGCACGCUGAAAUCUGCAUUAUCCUUCCUAGAAACUGGAAAGGUAUCCGAGCGUGCAUUUAUUCAAAGGACGAGUGUUCAUGAUCUGUACUCUUUUGAAAUAUCUGCAGACAUGGUAAUUGUUCUCUUGGUGUUUUCUUUAUCUAGUGAAAAUCUUCAUGAUAUACUUUGUUCUAGUUGCUUGCAUUUUGGACAUUAUCAUGCAGAAAUCAAAGGCAGUGAAUUUUGUUUCCUUGCCACUUGA